rnacentral:sRNA from 1 species
UCUUAGUUUUUACAGAGCUAGAAUCUUCGCAUCCUGCGAAAACGCUUGUGUGACCAACAUCGUGUUGG